GUGCUUGACUUACCUUGACCACUGUAAUUUUAGAAAGCUGACCCUUCUCUCUUGCAAUUUACUCAGUGUUUUUAGCCUAAUGCAGAAUUUCCCUCUUCUGCAGCUGGGAGGAGAAUAUCCAUCAUUUCCAGAUGUGGACAUAUGAUCCAGGAGGCAAUUGAAGGCCAGAAAAGAAGGAAUGUCAAAUAUUUAAUACAUGCAAGACUACCUUUGUGAGAAAAUAGCCUCUUUCCUGGUCUGUGGUUUAAGAAGUUACCUAGUCUUCUCCUGCUCAUGCUCCACUGAUGACAGUUACCAGAAAAUGCUGUAAUGUUGAUAUUACUUAGGAAGGCUUUGACUGUCCAGCAUCCAUAAUGACAGCAUUAACUAAAGAAAUUCCGAGCCAGUAAAAGAGGGUAAGACACCAAUGUGAGAAAAACCUACAGCCAACCCAUCUCCAAACCCAAAGAGUUUGAUUUGUUUGAUGUAGAAGACAAAAGUCAUGAAAGCUCCAUGGUCACAGGACACCAGCUUUGGCCGUACUACAUUGUCAUUCAUUCCUCCCCACCACACGCGUGCCUGACCAUAUAGGAAAAUGAGUUUACAACCGACUACGCCUAUGGGACUCCCGGAGGGAUACAAUGUGAGAGCCUUUACUAGUGGAGGAUAGUUCUCAAAAGGUCUGAAAGUUUGCAAAACCCAUUUAAGAGUGAUGCCUUCUUUAAGAGUAUCCCAUCCACCCAUGCAGCCACACUGAUGUGACAUAUUGUGACACAAAAUGCCACAGAAAAUUAAGCUGAGCCCUCCAACUGAAGACUUGAUUUAGCCAUACAUUCUCCACAAGUCACCAUUUAAAUUAACUGUUGUAGAUUCAAGCUAGGAAAAUGAUAAUUCAUCUAGUGUAAGUAGUUGUGUAGAAACAGUUUGCUGCUACUGGAAAAAAUCUGCAUAGUAUGUUCUUAAAAUAUGGUAUGUUUCAUUUCCUAUGGAUAAAGACAAAUAAAUAUAGUUGCAAGAAAUGCAGCGCAUUUUUAAGAGGUUGGUACAAUGAUUUUUCUCUGCUGCAUGUUAUGCAUUUAUGUACACUCAACAUACAGUCUCUGCAAAUGCAUAUUUACGUUUAUAAAUAUGCAUGCAUAUAUACAUCCAAAUAUAUUUAAUUAAAAGUUUUUUUCUAAUUUUCAGUAUAGAAAUACCCAUACACAUAUGGCCUGGGAAUAAAUAAAAAUAAAUUUAUUUCUGUGCAGGUAAAAAAAUAAAAAAAAAUCAGCUAAAGGAAGUAUGGGAACCAAGCAACUAGGGCAGUAAAAUGGGGGACACAUGUCCCAGCUUCUCCUCUAAUAAAAAUGUUCUGUUUAAAAUAAUAGUUACAAUGGAAAUACUGAAAAAGAACUUUUUCUUACAAAGACCUGUGGUUCAGGCAGUCUUUUCAUAUGUGGUUGACUUAGAUUUCACUUCUGUAGAAAAAAAACAAAUGGGACAAAAAGGAUUUAUACCAAAGUUUUCCUGCCUCCCAAAUAAAUUCUCUG